CUUGGGUUUCACUCCAGGUAGGACCAGCCCGUGCGGGUUUAAGCAGCACAGUGACACGAUCUGCUUUACGACUGCAGGUGACUCACCAGCUGCAGGGAGGAGGCCUUAGGGACAGGCCGCUCUCUUCAUGGGCACGACAGAGCCAGCGCUUGGGGCUGACGAGCGUCUCAGGGGCAAUGCAACGGCUGAAGCCGGGAACAAGAGGGAAAAGGUUCACAUGCAAAAAGAACACCACCGAGUCAGUGAAUAAAGGUUUAAUUAAACGUCUGCAGAACAUGACAUCGCGGCAGCUUCAACCACCAUUAAAUCUGGCGUUCACAACAACGGAGCCACACCAGGAAACGAGACAAAAAUGAGAUUUCCUCCAGUCCCCCAAAUCCCCAAGUAUGCCCAACGAUUGCCAAGAAAUCGCAGCCGACCAUAAAUGCGGAUUUUCUUGCAGCCAGAUCGUUUCAAAGGGGAGAAAAACUUUCAAUUUUUUGAACCAUAAAAUAAGUUUUUUUAACCACGUGAAAUUAGAUCCAAACAAAGCCGAGCAUGAGAGGCCCGAGGCCCCGCGGAGGCCGGCAGUUCAGGUUCAGGCUCCCGCUCCGGGGCCGGGCGCCGCCGGGAGUCCAGGGCUUCGGGCAGAGCCGGAGCGACGGGACGGGACAGCGGGCUCCGCGGCUCUGCGCCCGGGCUGUGAGCGCGGGGCGCGGGCAGGGACAGGCUUGCCCACAGCACGCCCCUCCGGAGCACCGGGCAGACCAGCGCGCCCCGAGCCCGGCGCCCCGUCCGCGGCCCCCGUCCCCCCGCGGCCCUCGCGCCCUGUCCGGGGCCCCCAUCCCCCCGCGGCCCCGGCCCCCCGGUGGCCCUCACAUCCCGUCCGCGGUCCCCGUCCCCCCAGCGGCCCUCACACUCUGUCCGCGGCGCGCUCCCAGAGAACUCCCCCCGCGCGGCCCUCGCGAGGCGAGAGCAUGACUCGAACCAGAGCCCCGGCCCGAGCGCGCCGCGUGGCCCCCGCCCCGUCUCCCCUCAGAAAAGUCAAACGUUCACGACUCCAGAGCCCCUCACAGCAGCACAGGCAACGAU
rnacentral:lncRNA from 1 species